ACAGCAGCAGCCGCGGGAAUACGGAGGGUGCAAGCGUUAAUCGGAAUUACUGGGCGUAAAGCGCACGCAGGCGGUCUGACAAGUCAGAUGUGAAAUCCCCGGGCUUAACCUGGGAACUGCAUUUGAAACUGUCAGGCUGGAGUCUUGUAGAGGGGGGUGGAAUUCCAGGUGUAGCGGUGAAAUGCGUAGAGAUCUGGAGGAAUACCGGUGGCGAAGGCGGCCCCCUGGACAAAGACUGACGCUCAGGUGCGAAAGCGUGGGGAGCAAACAGGAUUAGAUACCCGAGUAGUCCCUGUCUCUUAUAC
rnacentral:rRNA from 1 species